UACGUAGGGUGCGAGCGUUAAUCGGAAUUACUGGGCGUAAAGCGUGCGCAGGCGGUUCGUUGUGUCGGCGGUGAAAUCCCCGGGCUCAACCUUUGAAAGCCGAUGGAUACUGCGGAGCUAGAGUACGGAAGAGGCGAGUGGAAUUCCUGGUGUAGCGGUGGAAUGCGCAGAUAUCAGGAGGAACACCAAUAGCGAAGGCAGCUCGCUGGGACGUUACUGACACUGAGGCGCGAAAGCGUGGGGAGCGAACAGG
rnacentral:rRNA from 1 species